AUCUCCUUGGUACCACAAAGGUGGGAACACAUGAUAUCCUUCUUUUCUUAUGUCUCAAAACCCCACCUCCCUUCUCAGUUCCCUUUUCUGACCUGUCAGUGCCAGAAUCCAUCCUCUCUGCCUCAAACAGAAUGAGGAUCCUUCAGUUAUGUAAGAUGGCUGACUAAUCAACUCAUGACUCUUUAGUGUAAAUAAGUUUCAGUCGAUGUAUUACCCAACCCAAACAUCUCCGUCUUAAAAACUUAAUCUCUGCUCAAUGGUAAGUUUUGUCUAUCCAUCGAGGGAUUCAGGCAGCAGCAAGAAAUUGAGGAAAAAAAUCUCCAAAGGAAAAGAACAUUUGGUGCAAGGUGACCAGGUUUCUGCAAGUUUCUGGACCAGAUGA
rnacentral:lncRNA from 1 species